AAAACCAUUGGGCCGCCGGUCUACCGAGCAAUUUCACUCGUUCGGUGGAACAUUUUCCCUUUGUCGU
rnacentral:pre_miRNA from 1 species